CCUUGACCCCUUCUUUGUGAUGAAGUAUGCUUUCCCAUGCUCUUUGAUGUUGAGCUUGGCUAUGUGACUUGCUUUGGUCAAUGAAAUAUUUGCAGAUGUCUUUGGCUUUACUUUCACGCUGUGGUGAUUGGCUAUGAAGAGAGCAUGCUCCAGGUAUCCUGGACUCCAGGAUGAACACACGUAAUGCAGACCUGAACCCACCCUGCACCCCUGCAGCAAAACCGCCCCACUGAGCUCACGCUUAGGUCAGGCAAACUGCAGUGGACCCACAGACCCAUGAGCAUAGGGGGAAUUGCCUACUCUUAGCAGCCACUGAAUCCUGUCCUGAUUUGUUGAUGCAGGAUGAUGAUGGUGAUAGCUGACUCAAAUGGCCUCUAUCAAAAUUAAUUCCUUGUCCACAUAUAGAACUUGGGAACUGAUUUUUGGAGGGUUUAAAAGAAUCGUCCUGACCCAGCUUUAAUUUUAAAUUCCAUGUAAAGUUUAAGCUUGACAUUUCAAAGUUUCUGAUUUCUAUUUAACUUCUUGGCUCUCAGUGGUGUCUACUCACUGCUCAUUGAGAGUUACCUGUAAAUCUCCCCAAUUCCAUUCAGCACUACAAAAUGAUUAAGUGCUGACUCCCAUUGUUCUCUUCCAAUGGUAAGGCCAACAUGCAGUCUCAGAACAGUCAUUAGAUGUGAAAUGAGGCUGAACACAACUGGGAACCUUGUGGUGCUGGGUCCAAGCCCUCCCAAGUGGAUCCCCUUUGUAUAAAGUUCUUUCAUGUUUUGGGGUGAUUUUUUGACCCAUAUAUUUGUCCCAAGUCGUGUAAUAAGCUUUGCUCGUGGUAUUCCCUAAGACAAGAUCGAAUAAUUUCCCAAAGUUCCUCACCUACGCUAGAGGACCUGUGUUUCUCUGCUCCUCGUAGCCUGGCAGCAGAGACCUGGAGUGGCCUAGGGCGAGGCUGUGACUGCAUCACCUGUCCAAUGCCACAUCCUUCUUCCUCACGCACAUGGCCCAUCAAAGCCAGAACAUGAUCAGAAUAUGCUCAGAACACGCUCAGAACAUGCCCAGAGCACACUUGGAACAUGCUCAGAACACACUCAACACACUUAGAACACGCUCAGACCAUGCUCAGAACAUGCUCAGAACACGCUCAGAACAGGCUCAGAACAGACUCGGAAUACACUCAGAACAUGCUCAGAACAUGCUCAGAACAGACUCGGAAUACACUCAGAACAUGCUCAGAACACGCUCAGAACAGACUCGGAAUACACUCAGAACAUACUCAGAACAUGCUCGGAACACGCUCAGAACAUGCUCAGAACACACGCAGAACAUGCUCAGAACAUGCUCAUGCUUAGAAACACAGAACUUGCUCGGAACAUGUUUGGAACACGCUCAGAACACGCUCAGAACAGACUCGGAAUACACUCAGAACAUACUCAGAACAUGCUCAGAACAUGCUCGGAACACGCUCAGAACAUGCUCAGAACAUGCUCAGAACAGACUCGGAAUACACUCAGAACAUACUCAGAACAUGCUCAGAACAGGUUCAGAACACAGAACAUGCUCAGAACAGACUCGGAAUACACUCAGAACAUACUCAGAACAUGCUCAGAAUAGGCUCAGAACACAGAACAUGCUCAGAACAUGCUCAGAACACACGCGGAACAUGCUCAGAACAUGCUCAUGCUUAGAAACACAGAACUUGCUCGGAACAUGUUUGGAACAUGCUCAGAACACACUCAGAACAUGCUCGGAACACACUCAGAACAGGCUCGGAACACAUUCAGAACACACUCAGAGCAUGCUCAGAACACGCUCAGCUCUGCUCUGUGUCAGCUUCCUGAGUAGCCCCACCCAUGACGCCUUCGUAGGCAAGCGGGGGCUUUCCAAGUCCUCAUUCAUGCUGCUUUCCGGUGCAAGAAUACUGCCUCAAGGAAACAUUAAAAUUAUCAUAGAGAAGCAGAGAAAAUACCAGGAUUUUCAGGAGUGGACUUGACAGACGUUUGCCUGAUGUGUGAAACGGGUGGCUGUAGGAGAAGGUGUCCAUCACACUUACGGGCAGACGGAGAAGCUCAUUCGCUCAUGCUGUCAACCCUCACUGGGUGUCUAGCAGGGACCAGACGCAGGUCUCAGCCCUGAGAGUGCAGGGGGCACAUGGUCAGGUAAGCCCCAGCUUUCAGGGAGCUUGUGUCUCAGUGAAAUGCCAGGAGAGGGCCACUUGGGGAGCACUGGUCACUUACAUGGGAUGAUAGUGGUGUCCCCCAAGACAGGAAAGCAGGACUUUUUCCUACACACGUGUCACUCUGAAUCUAAGCAUUUCCUUUGUUUCUUUGAUGUCCAGACCCAAAGUGUACAGCGACUUUUCUUUCUUGCUGCUUUUCCUCUCUGCUCUUAUCACAAACGAAGUCCUUCCAGCCGGAGCCUCAGUCUCUUCCUCCCUCCGUGGCUUCCUGCUUUCUCUUCCACGCUGUAUUGAUUUUCUUUUCCCCCAACGUUGGCUUCUGUGCUAAUGCCUUAUUCUAGUGAGGGAGGCUAACAGCGGGAUUUCGGGGACUGAGGCAAGGCCGUGAGGAACUCGUGGGCGGGGAGGCCUUUGUUCUGCAAAUCUUGGCGUGCAGUUUGCACUCUCCGUUCAAUUAGGAUCAGACUUGAAGAGGAGACAGGGCAAAGGUGACUCAUCCUGUCUUUUUCAAUUUCAGCAUUUUGUGUAACACCAUGUUCCAAAUCAAUGUAAAAACCGCAAUAACAAAAUUAUUACUCGCCAUAACUGAAGCCCAUCCUGUGGCCCACAGAGAGAGCCAGGGAGUCUCAGGUGUGUGUGCGAGAAGAGGCUCAACUCUUCCCUCCACUGCCUCCUCAUAGAGGAAGGACCGAGGGCUCGCACCCAAUAAUAUACAGUGAUAGGAAGAACUCCUGUGAUAUCAGAAGAAUCCACUCAAGAGGUGUUCGACGGGACUGCGUUUCAGAGACUUCCUUUUGGUACGCCCAGCCUCUUAAAGCCUAACACAUAAAUGGAGCCUCUUCUGGAGGGAGGAAAAAAGACCAGAAUGCAUUGCACGCAAUGUGCUGCCUCAUACCCGAUGUACAGGAGUCUCCGC
rnacentral:lncRNA from 1 species